rnacentral:lncRNA from 1 species
AUGGCUGCCAUAAUUUCUAUCCAAGCAGAGGAAAUAGAGGUGAACUAUAGAGUGAGAGCCAGUUUCCUCUCUGCUGUACAAUCUAGGAGAAAAAAACCUUUACCCAAGGACAAAUCAGAUCACGAAGAGCCCUGUGGUCCCAAUCACAGGUCAUUUUGCCUGAAUGGAGGGAUUUGUUAAGUGAUACCUACUAUUCCCAGCCCAUUUAGUAGGACUCCUACCCUGUUUCUACAAAUGAAAAUCAAGUCAGUCAUCUAAAAAAUCUCACAAUUUCCAAACAAGAAGAUUUAGUGUCUUGUUUCCAUUAAAACUGAAUUUAUGGUGGUGAUAUUCUGGGUUACAUUGUGUGGGCACAAAAUGACAAAGGUAGUUUUAUUUUUUUCUCAAAAAUUUCUGUAGAAUGCAUAGGAAAAUUCUCAGAUUUGUAAGUUUUACAUUCUUUGCAUAUUCAAUGUGUUAAACUUGUGAUAUAAAUCAAUGGCAAACCUUUUACUAUCUGGCAUUUUACAAAUUUCAGACAUUGCUGUUUGCUAAUGAUCCAGUUUUAGGCACGGUUAAGGGAACUCUAAGUGGCCUAUGAAUGCCUGUCAUUAGUACCAGUCACAGCAGAUUAUUAUGUCAUUAUGCAGUGUGUCUCUUUCUAGGUCUAAAUCCCAAGGUCUGCCUUUCCUCCUUUUCCUUAGAUGCCUUGGAAGGAAUUUAGUUCUACUUGGGGACAAAGAGAAUGGAAAUAUAAUUCCUUGAAGCAGACUUUCAUAGAGCAAAUUGCAGCAGGAUAGUGCUGUGAUAGCAUUAAAAGGAAGCAUUUUAAAUGUCUUGAUUAAGUCAUCCUAUCAGUCUGAUCACUUGAAAGAAGGCAGUUCAGUGUUAUGACACAGAGUAUAAUCUUUACUUCUCUUGUGCUUACGUAUGUUUUCAUGUAUGAUCUUUUUCCAGUUUCAAAAAUGACUAUAUAAAAGUUGCCAUUUCUAGGAAUUUAGUAUGUUAUUAGCUGAAAAAAUAAUCCUUUAAUGCUUGCUUUUAACACAGAUCUUUAAAACUGUAAUUAUUUCAUUUUAACUUUGGUUAAAUUCCUGUUCCCUUACAUGCCACAUCAAAACUUCUAGAGGCAGCAAAGAUGGCUUUUGUUUUCAUCAAUACUAUCUUUGUUUUCUAUUGAGUCAAUCUUUCCCCUUUCUAUUCUGCACGAUUACAACCUUGUAGUCAAAUGAAUUUACUAAGCCCCUGAAGCUCAGCUAUACAAAGGAACUCUAGAACCUCAAACAAUGUAUUGAAAUGAUCCUGCGGCAGACUCUCCUUUGGGAAGUAAUAUUCUUUUGUAUGAGCAUUAAUUUGAAAAAAAUAAAAUAAUCCAUUCAAUUGUCCUGCUCAUUUUGUUCAUAUUUUUAGUUUUUCAAAUCCUUUUUCCUCUACUAUUCGACUCAUUUAUAGCAAAGAAAAUUUAGUGUUUUCCUUCUGUGCUAUGUAAGCAUAUCCAAAGACUUGAAUUUUGAGUAUUGUCUAUGUGAUAAUGGGCAACCAAUGUCAAAUAACAGAAAAACUUAAUAACUAAAUAAAGGUGAGAUUAUUAUUAUUCACAGAUAAAAAGUUCUAAAACUUUUCUUUGCACCUUCUUUAGGAAUUAAGAUUUAGGAUAGCUAUAAAAUAAAUGUGUAAGUAUUUUUAUCACAUAAACAGCAAAAGAAAACCUUUUAAUGUAAAAACUGAGGAAAAUGAUUAAAAAUAGAAAAGCAGGAAGGUUAAUACAUUUGAUUUCACUUACCUUGUAGGUUUUCUACUGUUCUGUUAGAACCACUGACCAUUACAAAAGUGCCAUACAUUAGUCAUAUCAUACUGUAUUAGGUAAACUAUGCUAUUAUAAACACCUGUUAUAAGAGCUGGAAAAAAACAGUGGCUGAGGCAAGACUCAUGUUGAUUCUGAUCUUGUAAGACAGUCUGGAGAGAGACAAUCCAAGCCGCAUAUGGUAGCCCUUCAACAAAAUUGUACGGCAACCCCGGACAUGGUUCUGUCCCCCAAGGGCAUCGUCUCUUCUGAAGAGUUCAAGAUGUCUCACUGCCAGAUCCACUCCCAAGCAUCAAGCACAGGGAAGAGCUAAAAACUGGCCACACCAUUUUUUACAUGUCAUGUCACUGGCACAACAGUCAAUGGCAAGGGACAAUAGGAACUGCAGUCUUUGCUAUGGGAGGCACAUGCCUGGCUGAAAAUCCAAGGUUCUAGCACUAUGUGAAGAAGGUCAGUGGGGAAAAUUGGUGUUCUCUCAACAUAGCUCCUUUAGGUAUUAGCAUAAUUAGAAAUACAAGUUUAAAAAUCAUUCUGCGGGGAACAUGGCAAGACUUACUAGCUGACAAUUACUAUUCUGGGUUUUCAUUUCUUUCUUUUUUUUUUUUUUUUUUUGGGUUUUCAUUUCUAAAGUAUUAUUUACUUCCAUCAUUCACUCACCAAAAGCAAUGAUAUACAAAAAACACUGUCUGAGUGAGUUUCCAAGGUAGGUUUUAUUGGUAUAAAACCAAAAUAAGGUGAUGUAAUUGUCAGCUAUAUAGAACUAGGUGAAGAAAAGGAUUUUCUCUUAGAAUUUCUUCACUGAGGGAAAAGGAAAAUUUUUUCCUUAUAAAGUAAUAAAAUAUUGAUUAGUCUUGGCAAUUAUUUGACUAAGCAACUUCAGGGCACUAGAACAAAAAUAGUUAUUUAAUUUUUAUCAAAUAAGUAAAAAGUCAGCAAUUUGUUACAGCUUCUGAAAAAAUAGGCAAAACCGUAAAGCAGAGAAAGAUUUCUCAAGCUAUCCAUGUAUUUUUCUCCUUCAGUAAGGGAGAAAAAAAGGUCUUCAUGAUUUUACUAAAAGAUCUAACAAUGCAGAGGUAGUCAUGGAAUGUCUUAAAUCUUCAUCCUACUGAUGAAUCCUCUCUCAAUCUUCCUAUGCUUUAGGAAGACUAUAAAGUCACAUUACACAGCAGCUACAUAAUCUGGUACAAUACAGCCAUCGUCGGUUAGGAUUGUGCAUGAUGCAAAAGCUCCCAAAUCUGUUUGUGGUAUGUUAUAUACAAAGCUGUCCUUCACCAAACUUAUUAAAAACCACCCCUAAUAUAAUCUUUAGAGAUUCAAAGCUACAAAACUGAUAC